rnacentral:rRNA from 1 species
CUUGAACGCUGGCGGCAGGCCUAACAAAUGCAAGUCGAGCGCGCGGCGGACGGGGGAGUAAUGUAUGGGGACUGCCCGAUAGAGGGGGAUAACUACUGGAAACGGUGGCUAAUACCGCAUACUAUCGGAUAACCCAUAUGGGAUUGGCGUGUAGGUGGUGUAACGGCUCACCUAGGAGACGAUCUCUAGCUGUUCUGAGAGGAUGAUCAGCCACACUGGGACUGAGACACGGCCCAGACGCGUACGGAGGCAGCAGUGGGGAAUAUUGCAGAAUGGGCGCAAGCCUGAUGCAGCCAUGCCGGGUGUAUGAAGAAGGCCUUAGGGUUGUAAAGUACUUUCAGCGGGGAGGCGUUACCCGCAGAAGAAGCACCGGCUAACUCCGUGCCAGCAGCCGCGGUAAUUC